CGGAAUUAUUGGGCGUAAAGAGCUCGUAGGCGGUUUGUCGCGUCUGCCGUGAAAGUCCGGGGCUCAACUCCGGAUCUGCGGUGGGUACGGGCAGACUAGAGUGAUGUAGGGGAGACUGGAAUUCCUGGUGUAGCGGUGAAAUGCGCAGAUAUCAGGAGGAACACCGAUGGCGAAGGCAGGUCUCUGGGCAUUAACUGACGCUGAGGAGCGAAAGCAUGGGGAGCGAACAGGAUUAGAUACCCUGGUAGUCCAUGCCGUAAACGUUGGGCACUAGGUGUGGGGGACAUUCCACGUUUUCCGCGCCGUAGCUAACGCAUUAAGUGCCCCGCCUGGGGAGUACGGCCGCAAGGCUAAAACUCAAAGGAAUUGACGGGGGCCCGCACAAGCGGCGGAGCAUGCGGAUUAAUUCGAUGCAACGCGAAGAACCUUACCAAGGCUUGACAUGAACCGGAAACGCCUGGAAACAGGUGCCCCGCUUGCGGUCGGUUUACAGGUGGUGCAUGGUUGUCGUCAGCUCGUGUCGUGAGAUGUUGGGUUAAGUCCCGCAACGAGCGCAACCCUCGUUCUAUGUUGCCAGCGCGUGAUGGCGGGGACUCAUAGGAGACUGCCGGGGUCAACUCGGAGGAAGGUGGGGACGACGUCAAAUCAUCAGCCCCUUAUGUCUUGGGCUUCACGCAUGCUACAAUGGCCGGUACAAAGGGUUGCGAUACUGUGAGGUGGAGCUAAUCCCAAAAAGCCGGUCUCAGUUCGGAUUGGGGUCUGCAACUCGACCCCAUGAAGUCGGAGUCGCUAGUAAUCGCAGAUCAGCAACGCUGCGGUGAAUACGUUCCCGGGCCUUGUACACACCGCCCGUCAAGUCACGAAAGUUGGUAACACCCGAAGCCGGUGGCCUAACCCCUUGUGGGAGGGAGC
rnacentral:rRNA from 1 species